rnacentral:rRNA from 1 species
GACGAGCGGCGGACGGGUGAGUAAUGCUUGGGAACAUGCCUUGAGGUGGGGGACAACAGUUGGAAACGACUGCUAAUACCGCAUAAUGUCUACGGACCAAAGGGGGCUUCGGCUCUCGCCUUUAGAUUGGCCCAAGUGGGAUUAGCUAGUUGGUGAGGUAAUGGCUCACCAAGGCGACGAUCCCUAGCUGGUUUGAGAGGAUGAUCAGCCACACUGGGACUGAGACACGGCCCAGACUCCUACGGGAGGCAGCAGUGGGGAAUAUUGCACAAUGGGCGCAAGCCUGAUGCAGCCAUGCCGCGUGUGUGAAGAAGGCCUUCGGGUUGUAAAGCACUUUCAGUCAGGAGGAAAGCUUGGUGGUUAAUACCUGUCAUGUGUGACGUUACUGACAGAAGAAGCACCGGCUAACUCCGUGCCAGCAGCCGCGGUAAUACGGAGGGUGCGAGCGUUAAUCGGAAUUACUGGGCGUAAAGCGUACGCAGGCGGUUUGUUAAGCGAGAUGUGAAAGCCCCGGGCUCAACCUGGGAACUGCAUUUCGAACUGGCAAACUAGAGUGUGAUAGAGGGUGGUAGAAUUUCAGGUGUAGCGGUGAAAUGCGUAGAGAUCUGAAGGAAUACCGAUGGCGAAGGCAGCCACCUGGGUCAACACUGACGCUCAUGUACGAAAGCGUGGGGAGCAAACGGGGAUUAGAUACCCCGGUAGUCCACGCCGUAAACGAUGUCUACUAGAAGCUCGGAGCCUCGGUUCUGUUUUUC